rnacentral:rRNA from 1 species
AUGGAGAUGGCUGAGGAUGACCUAGCGAUGGUCGUGCCCAUCCUGCCUGAAGGUGGCCUCGCGAUGGUGGUGGUUCCUGACAAUGACCACGCAUCGGUGGUGGCGCCGGCAAUCCCACAGCUGGGCGACAUGACCGCGCCAAUUGUGGUAGAAGACUACAUCCCACUGCCUCCACUGCCUCCACUGCCUCGCCGCUCUUGGCGCAUCAGGCUGAGGAAGGAGAAGGAGAAGAACAAUGCAUCAGAACUGAACUUUGUCAGAUUUGAUUUAAUUCACGGAAGCUUGCAUGGAUGGAUUGCUUCUUUUCCAUUUGUGUUUUUAUUUUGUAUCAAUGUGAAACUUUUGUGA